UACGUAGGGGGCUAGCGUUGCUCGGAAUCACUGGGCGUAAAGCGCACGUAGGCGGAUUCUUAAGUCAGGGGUGAAAUCCUGGAGCUCAACUCCAGAACUGCCUUUGAUACUGAGGGUCUUGAGUUCGGGAGAGGUGAGUGGAACUGCGAGUGUAGAGGUGAAAUUCGUAGAUAUUCGCAAGAACACCAGUGGCGAAGGCGGCUCACUGGCCCGAUACUGACGCUGAGGUGCGAAAGCGUGGGGAGCAAACAGG
rnacentral:rRNA from 1 species